rnacentral:lncRNA from 1 species
GGGUACACAAUAGGUGUAUAUAUCUCUCCCCUUUGACUUUUCUAACUCACUUCAGUUAAUCUUUGGAAUGUGAGAGGCAGCUAGCUUUGAGACAAAUUGGGGGACAGAGUCUCCCAUGCUGAGAGGACAGCACAUGCAAAGGCCCUGAAGUGGGAAAUUUUGGGUGUGAUAUCCUCCAGGAACCUAGAUAAGACUGAUGUGCUUAUGGUAAGGGAGAGAGAGGCAGGAGCCUGGGCUGGAAAGUUGGUUUUCUCAUUAAGCCGUUCCUUGCAGGUGUUAGUAGGGAGUUGGACCUUCAGUCUGAGUUGUAGGAGAAACCUGGCCUGGAGAUUGAGUUGGAGAGUGCCAUGAUCAUAUGGACAUUGGCACGUGGACAGCAGGUGGGGGUGAGAUGAAGUGUUGGGAGCUGGGUGUAGUGAUUGUAAUGGUUUAGAACUUGGUGGUGGGUUUAGGGAGAUAUUUUGGAGGUAGAGCUGUUGGGACUUGUUGGUAGAUGAGAAGAGAGGCCAAGCCGCAGGUAUACAACUGUCAUCAUGGGGGCA